rnacentral:lncRNA from 1 species
GGGGUGUAACAUAUACAACACAGAUAUCGUGGGGGGCGUAAAAUGUACAACAGAGGCAUCGUGGGGGGUAACAUGUACAACAGAGGCAUCAUGGGGGGUAAAAUGACCAACUGAGGCAUCCUGGGGGGUGGAAACAUGUACAACAGAGGCAUUGUGGGGGUGGCAACAUGUACAAAAGAAGCAUCGUGGGGGGAUACCAUGUACAACAGAGGCAUUGUGGGGGAGGCAACAUGUACAAGAGAGGCAUCAUGAGGGGUAACAUGUACAACAGAGGCAUCGUGGGGGGUAACAUGUACAACAGAGGCAUGUACAUCAGAGUCAUUGUAGGGGGGUAACAUGUACAACAAAGGCAUCAUUGGGGAUAACAUUUACAACAGAGGCAUUGUGGGGUGGCAACAUGUACAACAGGAUCAUCGUGGGGGGGUGUAACAUGUACAACAGAGGCAUCAUGGGGGUAACAUGUACAACAGAGACAUCGUGGGGGCGGCUACAUGUAUAAGAGGAGCAUUGUGUGUGUGUGUGGGGUAACGUGUACAACAGAGGCAUCGUGGGGAUAACAUGUACAACAGAGGCAUCGUGGGGGGUAACAUACAAAAGAGGCUUUGUGUGUGGGGGUAACAUGUACAUCAGAGUCAUUGUAGGGGGAUAACAUGUACAACAAAGGCAUCAUCGGGUGCAACAUUUAC